rnacentral:rRNA from 1 species
GACAGAGGGUGCAAACGUUGUUCGGAAUUACUGGGCGUAAAGCGCGUGUAGGCGGACUGGAAGGUCUGGUGUGAAAGCCCGGGGCUCAACCCCGGAGGGUCACUGGAAACCGACAGUCUUGAGUCCGGAAGAGGAGAGUGGAAUUCCUGGUGUAGCGGUGGAAUGCGCAGAUAUCAGGAGGAACACCUAUGGCGAAGGCAGCUCUCUGGUACGUGACUGACGCUGAGACGCGAAAGCGUGGGGAGCGAACAGG